UCAGACGAUGCGUCAUGCAUAUCAAUAAGCGGAGGAAAAGAAACUAACAAGGAUUCCCCUAGUAACGGCGAGUGAAGCGGGAAGAGCUCAAAUUUGAAAUCUUAAAGGGUUUCCCUUUACGAAUUGUAGUUUAAAGAAGUGUUUUCUGUUGAGGUUUUGGUAAAAGUUCUUUGGAAUAGGACAUCAUAGAGGGUGAGAAUCCCGUAUUUGACCUUUACUUUCAACUUUGUGAUACACUUUCAAAGAGUCGGAUUGUUUGGGAAUGCAGUCCAAAAUGGGUGGUAAAUUUCAUCUAAAGCUAAAUAUUGGCGAGAGACCGAUAGCGAACAAGUACCGUGAGGGAAAGAUGAAAAGAACUUUGAAAAGAGAGUUAAACAGUACGUGAAAUUGUCCAAAAGGGAAGCGUUUGACACCAGUGUUGUUUUUCUGAAAAUCAAUUAAAGAACUGUUUAUGCUAAGCUGUUUAGACUUUAUCAGCUAUCUGUUUAGUUUUGAGCUUUUCUUUAAUGCACUUUUCAGUUAACAAGUCAACAUCAAUUUCUUUUGCUGUAAAAAAGGCUUGAGGAAGGUGGCUUGAGAUUCGUCUUAAGUGUUUAUAGCCUCUUGCCUAUGCAGUCGGAGAGAUUGAGGUCUGCAGCGUAGAUCCUUCGGGGCUAAAUGCAUUUGUGCUAAGUUAUAGCAUUUUAUAGACAACUUGUUGACUAUGAUUUGUCUUGUAGCUUACUCGCUUAUGUUAUUUUACCUACGCUUAGGAUGUUGAAUCUGUGCGAGACUAC
rnacentral:rRNA from 1 species